AAAAUUUAAAUUUGAAAUACUAAAAUAGUAAAUAAAUGUUUAUUGAAACUUAAAUAAUUUGGCGGUAUUUUAGUUCAUUUAGAGGAAUCUGUUUAAUAAUUGAUAAUCCACGAAUAAAUUUACUUAAUUUAUAAUUUUGUAUAUCGUUGUUAAAAAAAUAUUUUUUAAUAAAAUUAAUAUUUAAAAAUUAGAAUAUAAAUUUAAAUCAGAUCAAGAUGCAGAUUAUAAUUAAGAAUAUAAUGGAUUACAAUAAAUUUAUUUAAAUGGAUUUUAAUUUGUAAAAAUUAAUUGAAAGUGGAUUUAAAUGUAAUUUUAUUUAAUUUAAUAAAAUGAUUAAAAAUUAAAAUAUGU
rnacentral:rRNA from 1 species